rnacentral:tRNA from 1 species
AACUAAUGAACUUGAACAAGUAUAUAUUUUGAAAAUAUAUAAAAGAAAUACUAGCUUUCUAUUAGUUU